GCAGUGGGGAAUAUUGCACAAUGGGCGAAAGCCUGAUGCAGCGACGCCGCGUGAGGGAUGAAGGCCUUCGGGUUGUAAACCUCUUUCAGUAGGGAAGAAGCGAAAGUGACGGUACCUGCAGAAGAAGCGCCGGCUAACUACGUGCCAGCAGCCGCGGUAAUACGUAGGGCGCAAGCGUUGUCCGGAAUUAUUGGGCGUAAAGAGCUCGUAGGCGGUUUGUCGCGUCUGGUGUGAAAACUCAAGGCUCAACCUUGAGCUUGCAUCGGGUACGGGCAGACUAGAGUGUGGUAGGGGUGACUGGAAUUCCUGGUGUAGCGGUGGAAUGCGCAGAUAUCAGGAGGAACACCGAUGGCGAAGGCAGGUCACUGGGCCACUACUGACGCUGAGGAGCGAAAGCAUGGGGAGCGAACAGGAUUAGA
rnacentral:rRNA from 1 species